rnacentral:rRNA from 1 species
UACAGAGGAGCCAAGCGUUGUCCGGAUUGACUGGGCGUAAAGCGCACGCAGGCGGACGCGCGCGUGGGGUGUGAAAUCUGGCCGCUUAACGGCCAGGCGCCAUCCCAUACGGCGCGUCUGGAGUGAUGCAGAGGUCGAUGGAAUUGCCGGUGUAGUGGUGAAAUGCGUAGGGAUCGGCAGGAACACCCAGGGGGAAACCAGUCGACUGGGCAUCUACUGACGCUGAGGUGCGAGAGCGUGGGGAGCGAACCGG